rnacentral:rRNA from 1 species
AGGUAAGCUACUAAGAGCGAAUGGUGGAUGCCUUGACUGGUAAAGGCGAUGAAGGACGUACUAGACUGCGAUAAGCUACGGGGAGCUGUCAAGAAGCUUUGAUCCGUAGAUUUCCGAAUGGGGCAACCCAAUGUAUAGAGAUAUACAUUACCUAUAUAGGAGCGAACGAGGGGAAUUGAAACAUCUUAGUACCCUCAGGAAAAGAAAUCAAUAGAGAUUGCGUCAGUAGCGGCGAGCGAAAGCGCAAGAGGGCAAACCCAGUGCUUGCACUGGGGGUUGUAGGACUGCAAUGUGCAAGAGGUAAGUUUAGCAGAACAUUCUGGAAAGUAUAACCAUAGAGGGUGAUAGUCCCGUAUGCGAAAAACAAACCUUAGCUAGCAGUAUCCUGAGUAGGGCGGGACACGAGGAAUCCUGUCUGAAUCCGGGUCGACCACGAUCCAACCCUAAAUACUAAUACCAGAUCGAUAGUGCACAAGUACCGUGAGGGAAAGGUGAAAAGAACUGAGGUGAUCAGAGUGAAAUAGAACCUGAAACCAUUUGCUUACAAUCAUUCAGAGCCCUAUGUAGCAAUACAGGGUGAUGGACUGCCUUUUGCAUAAUGAGCCUGCGAGUUGUGGUGUCUGGCAAGGUUAAGCAAACGCGAAGCCGUAGCGAAAGCGAGUCUGAAUAGGGCGCUUAGUCAGAUGCUGCAGACCCGAAACGAAGUGAUCUAUCCAUGAGCAAGUUGAAGCUAGUGUAAGAACUAGUGGAGGACUGAACCCAUAGGCGUUGAAAAGCCCCGGGAUGACUUGUGGAUAGGGGUGAAAGGCCAAUCAAACUUCGUGAUAGCUGGUUCUCUCCGAAAUAUAUUUAGGUAUAGCGUUGUGUCGUAAUAUAAGGGGGUAGAGCACUGAAUGGGCUAGGGCAUACACCAAUGUACCAAACCCUAUCAAACUCCGAAUACCUUAUAUGUAAUCACAGCAGUCAGGCGGCGAGUGAUAAAAUCCGUCGUCAAGAGGGAAACAACCCAGACUACCAGCUAAGGUCCCUAAAUCUUACUUAAGUGGAAAACGAUGUGAAGUUACUUAAACAACCAGGAGGUUGGCUUAGAAGCAGCCAUCCUUUAAAGAAAGCGUAAUAGCUCACUGGUCUAGUGAUUUUGCGCGGAAAAUAUAACGGGGCUAAAGUAAGUACCGAAGCUGUAGACUUGCACACAACUUAGAUUAUUUAAGUUUAGAAUAUGAGAAACUAAGUUAUAUGUUUAGUUAUAUUUUUACUGAUUUUUAUAGAGUAAAGAUAGAAAUAAAACUUAGUAAAAUCAGUAAAAAUAUUCUUAGACUAAAGUUAAGUAGUUUAAGUUGUGUGCAAGUGGUAGGAGAGCGUUCUAUUUGCGUCGAAGGUAUACCGGUAAGGAGUGCUGGAGCGAAUAGAAGUGAGCAUGCAGGCAUGAGUAGCGAUAAUUAAUGUGAGAAUCAUUAACGCCGUAAACCCAAGGUUUCCUACGCGAUGCUCGUCAUCGUAGGGUUAGUCGGGUCCUAAGUCGAGUCCGAAAGGGGUAGACGAUGGCAAAUUGGUUAAUAUUCCAAUACCAACAUUAGUGUGCGAUGGAAGGACGCUUAGGGCUAAGGGGGCUAGCGGAUGGAAGUGCUAGUCUAAGGUCGUAGGAGGUUGUACAGGCAAAUCCGUAUAACAAUACUCCGAGAACUGAAAGGCUUUUUGAAGUCUUCGGAUGGAUAGAAGAACCCCUGAUGCCGUCGAGCCAAGAAAAGUUUCUAAGUUUAGCUAAUGUUGCCCGUACCGUAAACCGACACAGGUGGGUGGGAUGAGUAUUCUAAGGCGCGUGGAAGAACUCUCUUUAAGGAACUCUGCAAAAUAGCACCGUAUCUUCGGUAUAAGGUGUGGUUAGCUUUGUAUUAGGAUUUACUCCGAAAGCAAGGAAACUUACAACAAAGAGUCCCUCCCGACUGUUUACCAAAAACACAGCACUCUGCUAACUCGUAAGAGGAUGUAUAGGGUGUGACGCCUGCCCGGUGCUCGAAGGUUAAUUGAUGGGGUUAGCAUUAGCGAAGCUCUUGAUCGAAGCCCGAGUAAACGGCGGCCGUAACUAUAACGGUCCUAAGGUAGCGAAAUUCCUUGUCGGUUAAAUACCGACCUGCAUGAAUGGCGUAACGAGAUGGGAGCUGUCUCAAAGAGGGAUCCAGUGAAAUUGUAGUGGAGGUGAAAAUUCCUCCUACCCGCGGCAAGACGGAAAGACCCCGUGGACCUUUACUACAGCUUGACACUGCUACUUGGAUAAGAAUGUGCAGGAUAGGUGGGAGGCUUUGAGUAUAUGACGCCAGUUGUAUAUGAGCCAUUGUUGAGAUACCACUCUUUCUUAUUUGGGUAGCUAACCAGCUUGAGUUAUCCUCAAGUGGGACAAUGUCUGGUGGGUAGUUUGACUGGGGCGGUCGCCUCCCAAAUAAUAACGGAGGCUUACAAAGGUUGGCUCAGAACGGUUGGAAAUCGUUCGUAGAGUAUAAAGGUAUAAGCCAGCUUAACUGCAAGACAUACAAGUCAAGCAGAGACGAAAGUCGGUCUUAGUGAUCCGGUGGUUCUGUGUGGAAGGGCCAUCGCUCAAAGGAUAAAAGGUACCCCGGGGAUAACAGGCUGAUCUCCCCCAAGAGCUCACAUCGACGGGGAGGUUUGGCACCUCGAUGUCGGCUCAUCGCAUCCUGGGGCUGGAGCAGGUCCCAAGGGUAUGGCUGUUCGCCAUUUAAAGCGGUACGCGAGCUGGGUUCAGAACGUCGUGAGACAGUUCGGUCCCUAUCUGCCGUGGGCGUAAGAAGAUUGAAGAGAUUUGACCCUAGUACGAGAGGACCGGGUUGAACAAACCACUGGUGUAGCUGUUGUUCUGCCAAGAGCAUCGCAGCGUAGCUAAGUUU